UUUCCAUUUCCUCUUUUGUUGGUGAGGUGAUUUUGUACUUGAAACCCAGCGUUCGUAUUCAUCUGCCGCAGCAAGCCUGGGUGGUUUAGAGGGCAGAGGUGUAUUGUCUCACAUUUCUGGAGGCGGCAAGUCCAAGAUGAAGGCCCAGACAGGCCUCUCUUCCUGUCGUGCGGAUGACCUCCUUCUUGCUAUGUCCUCAGGGGCAGAAGACUAUGCUAUGCCUCAUGGAGGAAAAUGCAUGUUCUACAAGCUUCCCCGGAAGCAUGAGUAGUUCUAUAACUUGCCACUUUUGGAGGAAGAAGCCAGCAGCACGAUUUGGUUCGUUCCUUGCCAAAACUAUCAGGAAGGAUAUGAGUAAGACGAUGCAAGAAAGACCAACUGCAACUAUCAGGUUGCUGGCAGGAAGCAGAAUUCUGCUCAGAUGAGCUCAGAGACUUCAUUGAAGACAGCGGGGAGGUGUAUACAGGUCAAGGCCGGGAACCACAGGAAGCUGUUAUUGCCCUUGACCAGAGGGACAAGAGGUCCAGUGGAAGCUUGGAGCUGCAGAGAAGGGGUACCUGGAGGGAUAGUAGUCAUGGAAAGACACAGAUACAGCAGAGAUAGAGCAUCAAAGUGGGGGAUCACUGGGGGGAAAUCUUCAUCCCCUGUCCCCUCCUCGUUGCCCACCCCACCAGAGGCCAGGUGGUAAGGAAGUUCUUGUGAUGCAGGCCCUUCUGGUCAACUUCCUGAUACACAGAAAGGCACAGAAGAGCACAGAAUGGAUUCCAGAGUAGGGUGCCAGUUGGAGAGGGAUCGUGCAUGCAUUGAUGUGUUGGUUGGGUAUAUUCUUCAGAUACGGUAUUAUUAUAGACUCUAUUACAGAGAGGGUCCCUGCAUUUUCACUCCUUGUACCCCCUUCUCCCCCACUUUGCCAUACUUCUUGGGAACCACUCUUGUUCUCGUGAAUCAGGAGGACGACCCUGAGCCUGCCACAUACAUAUGAGACAGACUAUGGGCUCUUUGAAAGCCUCGUUUCUUUUCCGUCCCAUAGAAGUUGGUCAGUAAGUGUACAGUGAAGGAAGGGCAUGGAGAGCAUCUCCCUGUAAGACUUGCUCCCAGCCCUCUUCCACUGGAUGGAGCCCUCUUGUGGAACACUUAGGGUAAAGAAGACAUAGACUAUGACCACACAAAUGCUCACAGAGCUACAAAUAUGGGGAACGAGGCAGCU